AUCAUGUGUCAGACAUGCAAACGGCGCACUUUUUUUAUCAUACAUUUUGGGGACCUGUGUGGUUCGUGCAAAUCCGAAGAGUUUUUUUUUUGGGGGGGGAGGGUGCGUCGAUCGGUGCGCGCGUACAGGUGUCAAUAUUCCGUAAUCUGACUGACUGAGACCCCCGUGCCUUCGAAGUAAAGAAAAGUGAUUCCGGAAAUGAUUUUGUUAUGGUACCAAUCACAGCCCUUGCCGUCGCGUCGAAAUAUUGGAUGCGCAUGCGCACGGUAGAGCUUAGAUCGGGCUAAGAAAAUCAAGCCCGACCCCGACCCUCUGCACGUUCUGUCCUGACACAUUAACUGUAAUUAUGAGCCCUGGCCAUAGCCACGGGAACGUAUUCUCAGCAGGGGGUGCUGGAAAAAAAAAACUCAGCCUGCACUAGACUCGCAACUCGCUACAUUGAUAAAAAAGAUAUAUAGCAGCGCAGCUCAAUUACACCAGUGCAUGCGCGCGCAGAAAAAUCGAUCGUUGUGUUCACACCAUGGUUCACAUCCAGCUGCUCACAGAACAAGUUAAGCGCACCACCGCUCCCCUCACACUUUUUCAUAUAACUUUUUUUCAGCACUAAAAUGAGCAUUAAAUAAAUGCUGCGUCUCAAAAUGCCUUGGACAGCAGCAACGAUGACCCGCUUUGCCACGGGCCGAAACUGUGCGGAGCGACCACAGCCAGAGCGAACACAGCGGGGCAGAGGAGUGUCAGGAAUAGUCUUUGGUGUACACAUCAGUACGGCCUAUUUGCACUACUGUUUAGUGGCAAUGCAGUGUUUUAUUCUAUGCCUUUUUAUUUUCGUAUAUUAUUUCAAUGAAUACAAUUUAUUUAUUUAUAAAAACAAGAUCUGGUCUUCAAAUCUUUUUUCCAAAUAUAGGUCGUCUUACAAUGGGGUUUGUGUUUAUUUUCGGACCAAUACGGUACAGCGGGCGCUCACAUGACGUUAAGCAUUUCCUGGUGCAUAAUGUGACGCUUCAGAAAUUAAAAUCCCGUUUCUCCCCGUUGACACGACAACACAUAACCGGCGUUUUCAGAAAUCUCCACUUUGGACGGAGUUUUUAGAAAUAAUCGUUUUCUGUGAUAAGAUAGGGCCUCAGACAGGGGGUGCUGCAGCACCCCCAGCACCCCUACUUCCCGCGGUACUGGCCCUAGCCCGAUUUCAACCCGACAUUUAUUUUAACACAUAUGUAACUUUGUACACAUUUGUUACUAGGCCUACACGGCUAAAUACAUAUGUAAGGGAUAAUGUAUAGAACGCCGGUCAUUAUCGGGAAAAUAAGCCCCGACAGGGCGAACAGUAGGCCUACACCGACGCGCAGCGAAGGCGUCUUGCUUCGCCCUGAAGGGGCUUAUUUUCGAAAAUGACCGGCGACGUUCUAUACAUGAUCCCACUUAUUACACGGCUACUUGCCAAAACUAAAGAAAUAACUUUACAUGGUGCGCCUUUUUACAAUUUAUUCGUAACUUACCAGCAUUCAUUCAUCAUUUUUUCACAAUGUCUUGUUUUUAAAAGAUUUAUGAUGACUUUAUGCUCUGUAAGGUGACCUUGGGUGGCUUGAAAGGCGCCUCUAAAUUAAAUGUAUUAUUAUUAUUAUUAUUCGUAGUGUUGAUCAGCAGAGCAAUAAUAAAUUGUCCGCAAAGACGGUGACGUCGCUUAGCAACAGAAGACACUGGGGUUAACAAGUCACCGGACUAGCUACCAAAGUGAACGGAGUGUUCCACGGCAUUGAGAAGACCUGUGUAAUAAAGGCCUAUAAUAUUUCUGUUUAUGGCAUAGAUUUCUCCUCAGAUUAGGCCAAUAAACCAAUGAUAAAAAAAAAAUAAAAAUGCUUGAUCAAAGGCCCGGCCCGACCAGGCCCGAGGAUAGUGGUGGGAAAAUAUCGGAGAAGGAUGCACUUAUUGUGCAGCAGGACGCAGGGUGCAAGUGCAGUUGGAAGUGGUCAUGGCUAAAAUUAGAAGCCACGACUGAGGUGAAUACAGUGAAGCAUAACUUUCCACUGUCUGACUUUUUCAAAAAAAUUGAGAAAAGAGGAUGUGCUAAAUGCACACACUGCAUUAAAGAAAUGAAUUAUGCCAGCAGGGGUGUACAUGCCCUGUAUGCACACUGUAAGGCAGACAUUCAUCGGAGGAAAGUGACAACAACAAUAACUACACAAAGUGUUGCACAGCUUCUCCGAAACCCUCCUCCAGAAACCCCCUAAGCAGCAGAUAAGAUCAGGGACAGUGCCAGGCCUAUACUGCCAGUACCUGUACCUGUGAUCGCAUAUCCAAUGCAGAGGUGUGUGUUUGUGUGUGUGUGAAAAUAAAUUAACUUAGUUUAAAAAGGCACUUUAACCGAGUAACUAAUAUAUUUUUUAUCUUUCUAGGCAUAUAGCAUAGGCCUUCUCAUGAUAAUAGGAUAUAAUGCCGUCAUAUUUUUUCCGACUUCGGGUAGCUCUCUCUUUUUUUGUCAUACAUGUGUUUGCAUCCCUGAUGUGUGAUAAUGACACAUUAUCACACAUGCAAACACACACACACACACAUGAGGGGGCGGAUGGGGGGGGGGUGAGAGUGAGGGUGAGGGAGGAGGGUGAGCAUGCGUUACACACACAUCUCUGCUGUGUUGUAGAGGAGCUGCUCUGGCCUGAUCAGGAUCGGAGGGGGGGUACAGACUGAUGUACAUGUGUGGGAUGGCUCAACGGGCUGGGUGGGUCUAUGUUUUCUCAGAUGGUCCAGAUGGCACUGCCAUUGGUCCUUUCCGUUAUCAUGCUCUAUGUGGUCAUCAAGUUAUCUCCCUGUGUGUUUCACCGGAUGACCGCCCCCCAACCGCCCCCCCCGGGGACUGCCCCGAUCUUGUUGCCCCCCCUCAGGGUAGCUGUGUUAGAGAGCCCCCCCCCUCCCGUCGUAAGGUCUGGUGCCCCAAACUUCCCCCCGUUUCUAAGGCUAAGCCUUCCUCUGGGCCCUUUAGUGUUGUUCAGACCAACAGAACCACUUUUCUGCUGGGGACAGUGAGAGCUGUCAGAGGAAGGUGGAGCUUCACUGCCCAGUAGAGGGCGGUGUCUGGACAGUCCAUUUCCUUUAUUUUACAAUUUAAAUCUGCUUUGGUUUAAUCAUGAAUAACCUAAUGAGUUUUUUAUUUUUUAAUUAACCUACUGCCUUUUAUGCUUCAUUUUGUUGAUUUAUUUAAUUGUUAAUUGUUUACCAGUAGAUAAACUGAAUUCUCCUUUAAAGGGUGAUCUUUAAACUACGUUUAAUAUGAUCAUGAGAGAAGAAUGUAGAAUGUUGGUGUAUUUUAGUGUCUCUCUGUGUCCACAUCUCUUAGUCUAGGAACAGGCCAGUGCCUCUCCUACUGUAUGAAGUGUUAUUUCCAACAUUCUGCCAUUUGUGAUGUCCCAACAAGGACGAACCAACCCUGUCGUCUGGGACACAGCCAGGACACAUACCUUAUCAAGGGAGACUGUUAUUUUGUUAUUCACGCUUUCUUUCCUAUAAUACUGGCCCCAACCCUUUUGGUUUGGUGAGAAGAGGGAUGGACAGCCAAAGAGCACGUCUGGAGACUGCUCCUCACCUCUUACACUGAGACUAUCCCACCUAAGUCUGUACCUGUGCUGUAUUACAUCCUCCAAUAAACCUUCUUUUCAACCCUCUGA